rnacentral:rRNA from 1 species
GACGAACGCUGGCGGCGUGCUUAACACAUGCAAGUCGAACGGAAAGGCCCUGCUUUUGUGGGGUGCUCGAGUGGCGAACGGGUGAGUAACACGUGAGUAACCUGCCCUUGACUUUGGGAUAACUUCAGGAAACUGGGGCUAAUACCGGAUAGGAGCUCCUGCUGCAUGGUGGGGGUUGGAAAGUUUCGGCGGUUGGGGAUGGACUCGCGGCUUAUCAGCUUGUUGGUGGGGUAGUGGCUUACCAAGGCUUUGACGGGUAGCCGGCCUGAGGGGGUGACCGGCCAACUGGGGAACGGGAAGCGGCCCAGCCUCCUAGGGGGGGCAAGAGGGGGGAAUUUUGCAAAAGGGGGGGAAGCCUGGUGCAAGAACGCCGGGGGGGAGAUAGAGGGUUUGGGGUUUGAAACCGGUUUCCCGUGGGGAAGAGGGGGGGGAAGGGAAAUGGGUAAGAAGCCACGGCUAAAUAAGU